AUUGAACGCUGGCGGCAUGCCUUACACAUGCAAGUCGAACGGCAGCGCGGGAGCAAUCCUGGCGGCGAGUGGCGAACGGGUGAGUAAUAUAUCGGAACGUGCCCUGUAGCGGGGGAUAACCUAUCGAAAGAUGGACUAAUACCGCAUACGCUCUACGGAGGAAAGCGGGGGUCGCAAGACCUCGCACUAUAGGAGCGGCCGAUAUCGGAUUAGCUAGNGGCGGGUAAAGCCCACCAAGGCAACGAUCCGUAGCUGGUCUGAGAGGAUGAUCAGCCACACUGGAACUGAGACACGGUCCAGACUCCUACGGGAGGCAGCAGUGGGGAAUUUUGGACAAUGGGCGCAAGCCUGAUCCAGCCAUGCCGCGUGAGU
rnacentral:rRNA from 1 species